AUGGUUCCAAAAGAAUAGGGUGUCUAAGUGAUCAAGACUUCCCAUACUAUAUAAUUUGACCUCCAAUUCAUACUGAAGCAAGCAAUUUUUACCUUUCCAGCAAGGCUCACAUUCAAUCCCUAUGCAGCACUAUUCCCGUGCAAGAGGCUACAUUUUAGACUUGCAUAAAAACAAGAGACAUGAAAAGCAAUAGCUUUCAAGCUAGUAAACAGAUGAUUAACAUGAAUGGCAGAGAGAAACAGGAGAAGCAUUAAU
rnacentral:misc_RNA from 1 species